rnacentral:rRNA from 1 species
CCUACGGGAGGCAGCAGUGGGGGAUAUUGCACAAUGGGGGAAACCCUGAUGCAGCGACGCCGCGUGUGGGAAGACGGUCCUCUGGAUUGUAAACCACUGUCCCCAGGGGCGAAGAUGACGGUACCUGGGGCUGAAGCUCCGGCAAACUACGUGCCAGCAGCCGCGGUAAUCCGUAGGGCGCGAGCGUUGUCCGGAAUUACUGGGUGAAAAGGGAGCGUAGGCGGGGAUGCAAGUUGGGUGGCAAAACUACCGGCUCAACUGGUAGUCGCACUCAAAACUGCAGCUCUUGAGUGAAGUAGAGGCAGGCGGAAUUCCUAGUGUAGCGGUGAAAUGCGUAGAUAUUAGGAGGAACACCAGUGGCGAAGGCGGCCUGCUGGGCUUUUACUGACGCUGAGGCUCGAAAGUGUGGGGAGCAAACAGGAUUAGAUACCCGGGUAGUC